CCUCCCCAAUAUAUCUUCAAACUCCACUUCUCCCUACCACGUUCGUCCCCUUUCACAUAUAACCUUCAGCACGCCUCCGAGUUCAACUGUCCACCUCAAUAAGCCCUAAACAUCAGAAAUUGGCUGAUAAGGAUUUUCUGUUUGAAGAAAUGGCACCCAAGGUUUCUACAAUUGCUAAAGAAGAUCAACAACUCGAAAGGAAAAGAAAAAGAGUUUUAGCUCUAACAUAGUGGAAGUAGGAUGAAGUUGUGGACCUCUGCUCAGAUGAUGAUGAGAAAGAGGAUGUCCCCACCAUACAAGCAAAAAAGAAAGUCAGGGUUUGCAUUUACAAUCGAAAUCGACCCAUGAAACUCCUUGACAAGUCGGAUGUGGAGGAUUGAUGUUUCUAUAAGUUGGUUUUAAUAUGUUUUUCUUAUUUUCAAUAUUAUGUUUAGUUGUUGUUAUCAAUCUAUGUUUCAAACCUCUUGCUUUAUAAUAUAAGUUUGGUUCUUAUAAAUGUUUUGUGUUUGUUUUUUAUAAAUGUU